CGUCUAGCGAUAUGGACGUCAAUUUAUUCUACAACUUUCUGGUUUUUAUAACUUUGAAUUCAUCCUCUGCCCAAAAACGAUUCUUAAUAUUUCCACGUCAAGCUCCAACAAGACAUCAGAAAUAUUUAAGUUUAUUGCUGGUAUAGGCAUACCUGCCGACUUGUCAUAUGAAUCUCUUACAGUGGGUCACGUAUUGAAAGCAGAAUUUUUUCUGCCGUAUAAUGCUACUGUAUUUAGACAAAAUCUAUUUCUACCACAAUAUAAGCACACAGGUGCUUUAAAUCAAGUUGCUUUUCGUAACAUGUUAACGGAUACAAUUCAUUUGCGGUGGCAAAUUUACGCCUUCUUAGAGCAUUUAUUAAAUAGUUACGGUUAUAAUGGUCAUGAGUGUAUUCUACAAACUAUAUGUGGCAUAAAAUUGGUUGGAUUUGCAAAGGAGUUUAGUGUCGUUAAUGAGCUAUUACAUUUGUUGCUGAGUCCUUCUACUUCAAUAAAUUCUCAGAAAGACAUCGUAUAUGAUUAUACAUAUGCUGAAACAUCAAACGCUAGAAGGAAAAAUUGUGACAUUUAUAGUUGCAAAUUAAAUUUACUUAAUUGGAUUUCCAAAAU